rnacentral:rRNA from 1 species
AGCGAACGCUGGCGGCAGGCCUAACACAUGCAAGUCGAACGGACCCUUCGGGGUUAGUGGCGGACGGGUGAGUAACACGUGGGAACGUGCCUUUAGGUUCGGAAUAGCUCCUGGAAACGGGUGGUAAUGCCGAAUGUGCCCUUCGGGGGAAAGAUUUAUCGCCUUUAGAGGGGCCCGCGUCUGAUUAGCUAGUUGGUGUGGUAACGGCGCACCAAGGCGACGAUCAGUAGCUGGUCUGAGAGGAUGACCAGCCACACUUGGACUGAGACACGGCGCAGACUCCUACGGGAGGCAGCAGUGGGGAAUCUUGCGCAACGGGCGAAAGCCUGACGCAGCCAGGCCGCGUGAAUGAUGAAGGUCUUAGGAUUGUAAAAUUCUUUCACCGGGGACGAUAAUGACGGUACCCGGAGAAGAAGCCCCGGCUAACUUCGUG